GACGAACGCUGGCGGCGUGCUUAACACAUGCAAGUCGAACGGAAAGGCCCUGCUUGUGUGGGGUGCUCGAGUGGCGAACGGGUGAGUAACACGUGAGUAACCUGCCCUUGACUUUGGGGUAAGUUCAGGAAACUGGGGCUAAUACAGGAUCGGAGAUCCUGCUGCAUGGUGGGGGUUGGAAAGUUUCGGCGGUUGGGGAUGGACUGGCGGCUUAUCAGCUUGUUGGUGGGGUAGUGGCUUACCAAGGCUUUGACGGGUAGCCGGCAUGAGAGGGGGACCGGCGACAAUGGGACUGAGAUACGGCCCAGACGCGAACGGGAGGCAGCGGGGGGGAGUAUUGCACAGUGGGCGGGAGCCGGAUGCAGCAACGCCGCGUGCGGGAUGACGGCCUUCGGGUUGUGAACCGCAGUCGCCUGUGACGAAGCGUGAGUGACGGUAAUGGGUAAAGAAGCACCGGCUAACUACGUG
rnacentral:rRNA from 1 species